CCUACGGGUGGCAGCAGUGAGGAAUAUUGGUCAAUGGACGAGAGUCUGACCCAGCCAAGUAGCGUGAAGGAUGACUGCCCUAUGGGUUGUAAACUUCUUUUAUAAAGGAAUAAAACGAGGCACGUGUGCCUUUUUGCAUGUACUUUAUGAAUAAGGAUCGGCUAACUCCGUGCCAGCCGGCGCGGUAAUACGGAAGAUACGAGCGUUUUCCGGAUUUUUUGGGUUUAAAUGGAGCGUAGAUGGGUUGUUAAGGCAGUUGUGAAAGUUUGCGGGUCAACCGGAAAAUUGCAAUUGAUACUGGCAGUCUUGAGUACAGUAGAGGUAGGCGGAAUUCGGUGUGUAGCGGUGAAAUGCUUAGAUAUCACGAAGAACCCCGAUUGCGAAGGCAGCUUACUAAACUGUGACUGACAUUGAGGCUCGAAAGUGUGGGUAUCAAACAGGAUUAGAUACCCCUGUAGUC
rnacentral:rRNA from 1 species